AUGGCCAGCGUGAUGGGGGAAGGGAGGAGGCGGACACAGAACACUCUGCAGGUACAUACACACACACACACUGCGGAGCGGUCUGUAUCCAUCCGCCGCUCCCAGGAGGCGGACACAGAACACUCUGCAGGUACACACACACACAUACACACACACACACACACACACACACACACUGCGGGGCGGUCUGUAUCCAUCCGCCGCUCCCAGGAGGCGGACACAGAACACUCUGCAGGUACACACACACACACACACACACACACACACUGCGGGGCGGUCUGUAUCCAUCCGCCGCUCCCAGGAGGCGGACACAGAACACUCUGCAGGUACACACACACACACACACACACACACACACACACACACACACUGCAGGGCGGUCUGUAUCCAUCCGCCGCUCCCAGGAGGCGGACACAACACUCUGCAGGUACACACACACACACACACACACACACACACACACACUGCGGGGCGGUCUGUAUCCAUCCGCCGCUCCCAGGAGGCGGACACAACACUCUGCAGGUACACACACACACACACACACACACACACACACACACUGCGGGGCGGUCUGUAUCCAUCCGCCGCUCCCAGGAGGCGGACACAGAACACUCUGCAGGUACACACACACACACACACUGCGGGGCGGUCUGUAUCCAUCCGCCGCUCCCUGCAGUGCAGCCCGUCCAGACCGGUCCGCCCGCGCCACCCGUGACCCUUCUGUGCUGCAGGACCAGAAGCGUGGCGGGGGGGCUCACCCCACAGGGGGCAGUGGAGGGCUGGCUUGGCGGGCUGGCGUGGCCCCGCCCCUCAAGCUGGCGUUAUUCCCAGCCCCGCCCCCUGUGGGUCGGAAUUACACUGGGUCUGGUGGGGGUUGGGUGCGGGGGUAUCAAACCCAUUCGUGCUGUAUCCCUCCACCCCCCGCUCCGACACCCUCGCCGCGAGCGGUCGGUGCUGCAGUCUACACAUCUUCUGCCUGGUUUGGCGCAGCGGCGCAGGGGGCCAGACGCCUCUUUGCUGUUCUACCCACACGGAGAGCGGUGGGAAGUGAAAGAGGAACUGCGACCGGAGUGGGAGGACGACCAUCGGGACCCUGCACCCGCGAAGCACAAAGGAGGUGAACAACAAGUGGUGGAUCUUCAGAAUUGA
rnacentral:lncRNA from 1 species